UUUUUGGCCACACCCUUGGCACGCUGAAAUUGCAGAGCCAGGGAUGGAACCCUAGCCACAGCAGUGACCCAAAGCACAACAAUGACAACCCCUCAUCCCUAACAUGCUGAGCCACCAGGGAACUCCCAGUAACUUUGGUUUUCAUCAACAGCCAAAGCAACUCAUUAAAUAGAAUGUUCUAUAUAUUAACGCCUUAAAAUUGGAAGAAGAGGGGUGUGUGUAACAGCUAACAUGAGUACCUUUCUUUCCAGCUCUGGGUUUUCCAGGUGUUGGAAGAAACCAUUGGCAGUGACUAGGAGGUUAGAAGAGAAGAGUUUAUCUUUUUCUCUAGAAGUCUGUCUGUCUAGUUACACUUCUUUUUUCCUGAAAGUCUCUUAAUGUGCUGCUCUGGUUUAGUGACGAACUUUCCUUUCUGGCAUGUGGCCUUCUGUAGCCAAGCUUUUGUUGGUUGAGUCCCAGCACGUUUCAUUAAGUGCAAAAUCCUGUAGAACAGAUGGAUUUACAAGUUUCUGCUCAUGUAGCAUUCUGUUUAAUGCAACACUGGACUUUGGGUUCAGCAUCGUUGGCAGUAAUUGUCUAUGUGUAUAGUGUGGCGUUGGAGUAGGUGGUCAGGGGAUCUAGGCAGUUAUAAAGGCCAAGCCAGGCAUGAACAGUCUGAGGUUGGAGGCUUAAAGAAGCCUGUUACAGUGAUAACUGGCAGCAGUAUACAAGUACAUGCUAGUUUAGGUGGUGUUACGUACCACUAGUUAAGAGUCUUUGAACCUAGGAACAUGAAAUCUUACUAAAAAAAAAAAGUCUUGGGAGUUCCCGUUGUAGCUCAGCAGUAAUGAGCCCGACUAGUAUCCAUGAGGAUGCAGGUUUGAUCUCUGGCCUCGCUCAGUGGGUUAAGGGUCCAGCGUUGCUGUGAGCUGUGGUGUAGGUUGUGGACGCGGCUCGGAUCCCACGUUGCUGUGUGGCUGUGGCGUAGGCCGGCAGCUACAGCUUCAACUUGAGGACCCGUAGCCUGGGAACUUCUGCAUGCCAUGGGUGAGGCCCUAAAAAGACCAAAAAGAAAAAAGUCUUGCCGUGUGAGUGAGUAUAGAGUGCUUACGAAUUGUACUUGUGUACAUGAAAAGUUGGUAAUGUGGUCCUUGGUCUUCAAGAGCUGUUUUUAUAACAGAGCUGCCUUAGCCGUGCUCUUUAUAGACGUGCACCUGCUUUAAAGAAAAAAAAAAAAUCAACCAUAUGGAGGCAUCAUUUAAUACAGUAAAUAUAUCAAUUUUAAAGAUAUUUUCAGAGUUCCGGCUGUGGCAUAGUGAGUUAAGGAUCUGACUGCAGUGGCUUGGGUUGCUGCGGAAGCUCAGGAUUGAUCCCCAGCCUGGUGCAGUGGGUUAAGGGAUCCAGUGUUGCUGUGGCUGGGGCAUAGGUUGCAGCUGUGGCUCAGAUUCACUUCCUGGCCCCUGGUUCGGAAACUUCCACAUGCUGUGGAUGCAGCCGUUAAAAAAGAAAAAAGAUACUUUCAUUGCCCAGAAAUUUCUCACAUGUCCUUUUGCCAUGAAUCUCUACCCUAUACCCAGACAGUUACUCAUCUGCUUUCUGUCACUACAGGCUAAGUUUCUCUUUUCUAGGACUCUCUUUAUGUGGAAUUAUAUAGAAUAUUCUUCUAUCUCCCUUCUUUCAUUCAGCGUAACAUUUUUGAGAUUUACCCAUGUUCCUUUUCAGUGCUGAGUAGUAGUCCUUUAUAUGGAUGGACCACAAUUUAUCUCUUCACCUCUUGAUGGAUAUUUGUUGUUCCGUGGUUUGACUGUUGUGAGUGAUGCUCUCACUACAUUCAUGUACAAGUCUUUGGUUUUGUACUUGUACAAUAUAUGUUUUCCUUUCCUUUUGCUUUUUAUAAAUUUUUUUUAUUUAUAUAAUUUUUUUUAUUUUCCCACUGUACAGCAAGGGGGUCAGGUUAUCCUUACAUGUAUACAUUACAAUUACAUUUUUUCCCCCACCCUUUCUUCUGUUGCAACAUGAGUAUCUAGACAUAGUUCUCAAUGCUAUUCAGCGGGAUCUCCUUGUAAAUCUAUUCUAGGUUGUGUCUGAUAAGCCCAAGCUCCCGAUCCCUCCCAGUCCCUCCCCCUCCCAUCAGGCAGCCACAAGUCUCUUCUCCAAGUCCAUGAUUUUCUUUUCUGUGGAGAUGUUCAUUUGUGCUGGAUAUUAGAUUCCAGUUAUAAGUGAUAUCAUAUGGUAUUUGUUUUUGUCUUUCUGGCUCAUUUCACUCAGUAUGAGAUUCUCUAGUUCCAUCCAUGUUGCUGCAAAUGGCAUUAUGUCAUUCUUUUUUAUGGCUGAGUAGUAUUCCAUUGUGUAUAUAUACCACCUCUUCCGAAUCCAAUCAUCUGUCGAUGGACAUUUGGGUUGUUUCCAUGUCCUGGCUAUUGUGAAUAGUGCUGCAAUGAACAUGCGGGUGCACGUGUCUCUUUUAAGUAGAGUUUUGUCCAGAUAGAUGCCCAAGAGUGGGAUCUUUUUGCUUUUUUAAGGCUGCACCCACGGCAUAUGGAAGUUUCCAGACUAGGGGUCACAUUGGAGCUGCAGCCACUGGCCUACACCACAGCCGCAGCAACAGGAGAGUCAAGCCAUGUCUGCGACCUACGCCACAGCUCACAGCAAUGCUGGAUCCUUAACCCACUGAACGAGGCCAGGGAUCGAACCCUCAUCAUAGAUCCUAGUUGGAUUCGUUAACCACUGAGCCACGACGGGAGCUCCAUGUUGUCAUUUCUUAGGUUAAAAUGCCCAGAAAUAGAAUUGUUGUAUGUUAUAAUGUAGAUGUAUGUUUUAUCUUGUAAGAAACUGCCAGGCUUUCCCAAAGAGCAGGAUCCUUUCACGUCUGUGGCAGGAGUGUGUGAGAAUUCCCCUUCUGCAUCCUCACUGACACUUGGUAUUUUCAGUUUUAUUACUUUGUUUUUUUUUGGUUGUACCCAUGGCAUAUGUAGUUUAACUCUUGUGGGGUAUGGAGAGGCUGUCAUUCCUCGCCCCUGGAAAUUUUGUUUCUUGUAGAUUUUUUUUCCUUUUUCCUCUUCAGCAGAGCUCUUGAGCACCUGCUGUAUGCCAAGUACUGCCUUCACUGCAGGCAAUGGAAAGAUGAAUUUCACUUGGUUUCUGUCCCACGGCUUGUGAAAGUUCCAGGGCCAGGGAUCACACCUGCACCGCAGCAGUGACAGCAGCAGAUCCUUAGCCCGCCGUACCACCGGAACUCUGGUUUCUGUUCUUUUUUAAAACUAACUUUACUACGGAGGCAUAUAAUACACAAGCAGUGAAUUUCAUCCGUUGAAGUAUAUAGUUCGAUGAAUUCUGAUGUUUCUUUUUUAUUAGUCUUCUGCUUUUCCUCCUUCCUUUCCCUUCCUUGAUUAGCGCCAUGGUGAUUGUAAUAGAUAUGGAAAUAGGUGGGAUCUUGACUUCUUUCUGCUAAGGCUGUCCCAGAUAUAACACAGACUGAAUUCACUCCCUAGUUUAUCAGCUCUGUUCCAUGUGAUAAAAAGUCCAUAUAGCAAGUUACUGUAUAAUGAGGGCUAUCUCUGUUCCUUGCAGUUUAGUACUGGUUUAGAGCAAAGCAAGUUAAAAUUUAACUGGCAUUGUGUAGUGUACAGUAGGCCUGGAAAGUUGUUAAGUGGAUUUCUGCUAAAUGAAUCAUGUUUUCUAACUUGGAGAUGCAGUCUGGGGAAACAAGUUUUAGCUCAGCUUCUCCAUGAGAGCGCUUAAAGAAAUAUAUCCAACCUACUAUGAAAAAAGCCUCCUUGGAAAAGUGAGAGGAUAACUUUUGGCAGUACUUUAAUAGUCAGAAUAAAAUGCACAGACCCCACCAAACUGACUCUGAAUUGCAGUAGGUUGACAUUUGAAUUCUAAGGAGUGGUGCUGCCUGGGGGAGUGGCUUUGUCACGGUUUGUCCAUUUGUUCCCUUCUCAGGAUUCCUCACCCCGAGAAAUUCAGCAGGUUUCUGCUGCAGCCCAGUCAGUGGAGGAAUGAGCCUUUCUCGCCUCUGUCUUCUUUUGUCUGCUUUUGCUGUUUAUAAUACUCUUUGCAGCUUGCGGUGCGCUUGCAUUGUGACAACUGUCAGUGUCAUGUUGUUGCAGACCCUGCAUCUGUCUCAUUCAGAGUUUAUUCUCAUAAUCGCACACAGUCCGCUGUGGAUGGUUGGUGCCCGACACACGUUAAAUUAAUGAACUUCCCACUGUGCUCUGACUGAACAGUGUCGCCUCCAAGUGUCCCCCAGGCCACGCACGUCACUUAACAAAGUUUAGAGCAUAUGGUGACUGUUCGGCAUCUAUCAAGUACUGGCCCCAAUCAGUAAAAUAUAGCAAAGAAACUAAAAUGUAUCUUUUAAUGCAACUACUGACCUGAAUUUUUUUUUUUUCCACUUAAUUUUGUUGCGCUAUUCCCAUACCAGAGACUUCACGUGUUUAAAUAGCGGUACGUUUUGGUGCUUUUUAAAAUAGUCACAGAGGUGUGCGGUUAGCUCUUAGCAGUCAAUCUUAGAACAUUUCAUUACUGCGGAAAGAAACUCCACACCCAUCAGGCCUGACUCCCUNNNNNNNNNNNNNNNNNNNNNNNNNNNNNNNNNNNNCAGCCGGUUUGCUCUGUCUCCAGGGAGUGGCCCCCCUGGACGUUUCACAUGGAUGGACUCGGGCAGCGUGAGGCCUCUUUCACCCAGUGUGAUGUGUUCAGGGUCCAUCCACGUGGUUGCCCGUGUUAGUCUAAGGACGUUUCUGAACCCGUUCCAUAGUCCUGGUUCCGCCUGGGAGGUCUUCUGGGAGCUGGGAAGGACUUUGGAGGUUGUAUAGUUUGGCAUAUCCUCACUUGAGAGAUGAGAUUAAAGCUUUUAUCACUCGGAGCCGUUUAUUAGUCCUUUCCGUUGCCUCCUAUCUCCCAAAUUCAAUUUCCUUGGGUUGGGAAAGACUUUGUGCUUCUCCCUCUUGUCGCUGUGUGUGGUUCGGUCAUUGAACCCUGUGAGGCCCAGCCGGCUCCUGUCUGUCCCGGGGAUGCUGUCCCUGGGGCCGGGCUCCGAUGCCCUGGAGCCAGGGCGGCACCGUGUGCACACACAGCAGAGUUUCUUGGUCAGACCUGUGUUAGUGCUUUUACCUCAGGGGCUGAUCUCCCACAUCCCCAGUCCUUUCGAAGGCAGGGGGCCUCGACUGGGGGGCCCCUGCCCAGUUACUGCCCUUUCUAGGGCUCAGGCUUUGGGAGUUGAGCGGAAGGCUCCGCGCUGCGCUCCAGCGCCCCCUGGCGCCCGGCCGUGGUGGUCGCCCUCUGUCCGUUUCUCCUCUUGGGGCGGAAAGCGCUCUUUGCCGAGGCUUCGUGGCCUCUCUGGAGAUCUGUGGGCCGUGCGGGCAGAUGUCUUCCUUCGCCCGGCCUCCCUUGGGCUGAGAUUGGGUGUUUGCUCUGCCUGUGGCACAAACACUGGUGUUUCCCGUUCCGCCUGCCCUUUAGCCAGCGGCGUAGCCAGGGGACCAGGCCUCCGUCUCCGCCGAAGACCAGAGCGGCCCCGCCCAGCUGCGCUGCCCCGAGCGGCGUCGUGUCUGCACCCUGACCAUGCUGUGGGUUGGCCCCGUCUGCCAGAUGUGUUUCUUUUAGAUAUACUUUUCAUGUUCAUUCUAGAAAGGAUCCUAAAAUGAUCAAACGUGAACUGUGGGAGAUCAGAAAGCUGGAGCUGGGCUUUGUUCCUGGCUCGGCCUAGAGCUGCACCAUUUCCCAGGCCCUGGGCUGUGUCCCACCCCCGCUGGCCUUCCCUGCAGCGGCCACAGCCCCCCCCCCCGGGGUGGGGGGAGAGGAGGGUUUGUGAGGAGCAUUUGGGGUUGCUCCCACUUGUAACUCGUUUAUUCACCUUCCUCUGCUGGGCAGCCCUUCAGACCUAGGGAACUCUGCAGGCUCGCCUUACAGCCGAGGGAGGCCUAGAGCUCUUAGCACCGUGUAAACAGUCACUUCGGCCUGCGUGGGCCGGGCCUGCCCUGGGCGUGGCUGCCCCCUUCACUGUCCUGGCUUUCAGCUGGCUCUGCUCCUGGAGGACAGAUUCAUGUGGUCAGGGGCAUUUUCUCCCCACUAGCUUAUAAAUUCUGUGAAAUCAGGUACAAAAGCCUUUUCUUUCAUUUUUUUUAAACCCUGUUUUUCCUAAAAACAGACUUUAUUUAUUUAUUUUUUGGUCUUUUUGCCUUUUCUAGGAUCACUCCAACGUCAUAUGGAGGUCCCCAGGCUAGGGGUCUAAUUGGAGCUGCAGCCCCCGGCCUACACCACAGCUCACGGCAACGCCAGAUCCUUAACCCACUGAGCAAGACCAGGGAUCGAACCUGCAACCUCAUGGUUCCUAGUCGGAUUCGUUAACCACUGAGCCACGACGGGAACUCCUAAAAACAGACUUUAAAGUGUGUUAAUUCUCCAGAGGAAGGGAAGUACUUCACACACAUAUAAAGAGAGGGUAAGAAAUUUCAUCACAACUAUUUUCAGCUUUAG
rnacentral:lncRNA from 1 species